AUUAACAUCCUCUUUCUUUAUUACAUUAUUUUGCUGUUGUUUUUUGCACUGAAAUAAUCAAUUAAUAUAAUUCUUGCCAUAGAUUCAUAUAUAAUAUUGGACAUAAGGCAAUAUUAAAAACAUUCAUAACAUCAACUCCUUUCUUUUGUUAACUUAUACUGUCUCAAUCAAAUAUAAAAUCUGUUAUAAAUGCUGCAUAAAAAUCCUUUUUUCUAUUUCAAUGAUUGUGUUCAUUCUUGCCAUCAAUGAACAUUUCGUCAACAACAAUCACGGAGCCUUUACAUUCAGGUUUACUGGUUUUUCUUUGAUGAAUUCUUUGUUUCUAUAAAACCCAUAUCUAUCAAAUUUGUAGUACUACAUAAAAUAUGCUAGAUAAUACAUUCUUUUAUGUAUCAAUGAUUGAGUUCAUUGUUGACAUCAAUGAUCAUUCCGUCAAUUACGUUCACGGAGACUUUACAUCCAGGUUUACUGGCUUUUCUUCAUUAUCUUCUUUUGUGUCUAUAGAAACUUAGAUAUCAAAUCUGUA